CCUCUGGUGACGGAACUGUGCUGUCCUCAGUAAUCUCCUCCGCCAGCCGCCUUGUCUCUGGAGGCAGUUUGUCUCUUACACGCGGCCCUACAGCAAACACUUACCAAAGGGCUGGGAGACAAGCCCCCUUUGGGUGAUCAAGUAAAGGACCUUCCCCUAUCUACCACCACACGCAGGAAGGAAACUAACCGUGGCAGAGAAGUGCCAGAUACUAGAUCCACGGCCCUCUUCCAGCCUUCGCACAGGACUAAGUGUCAGAAACUUGGCCGAUUUCCCAAGGCUAGUCGACGUAAGAGCCAAGAUUAAGAUGCAGGCCUGCCGACUCGCACGCUGGGCUGAUGCUUUGCUGCCACUUCCAUUUGGGGGUUCUGCAGUGGUGAAGGCAAACAAGCUGUUUUAGGCGUGUCCUCUCCGGCCACCUCACACGUCUGUCUCUUGGCUGUGCAAAUUCAGAAAGCCAAGAUUGUGAGUUGGUCUCUCCAGGAAUAGGGCAGAGCACGGGGCCAGAAGCAUCCUCAGGAAGCCCCAGCUGGUCACUGAGGGAAAUGCCUGCACAGUGCAAAGUCCCACCUUCCCCAAGCAAGAAGGAAUUCUGCCAGCAGAUGGCCUUCAGACUUGAACUACAACAUCCAUACUUGUGGGGCGCGGUGACAACGCCAUUAGAAUAUGGCGCUGAUAUCCGGUGCCUCGCCCUUGCUUCUCCCGCUGGUAAACAAGUUCUGCGCCUGUGUGUCGAAUGUAACCAAUGAUAUGAGUUUCCUGCUUUGCAGUGUAUAUAAGGAACUGCCCUUCCCCUUUUCUGCGUCUUCCGCAAAAUGUAGCCUAAGGGAUCCCCCAAUAAAGCACGGUCAGAAGAACUCCA